CAUGGUUCCAGUUUGUAUCAAUUAUAUCAGAUACUUCAGAGAAUCAGAUAAGUAGAUUCUAAUAGUGAUACGUUGUUUCAACAAAUCAUGGAGUCAAAGAAAAAUGUUUGAAGAUUCAUUCUGUUGAAGAUGAAUGUUUCUGUAGUCAAAACCACAUUCCUUUUGACAAUAGGUAAUUUUCACUGACUCUCUCAGUGUGGAAAUCGUGAGACACAAGAUUUAAAAUGCUUAGCUUUAUGUUAAUGAUUCAACAGAAUAUUCACUGGGGCAAAACCACUUUAAAAAUCAUUCCUGAAAUAUUAUCUCAUCUUUGAAAUAAUGAUGCAUGACUGAAGACAUCCCAUGAUUCUAGAAGGGUGCGGUGGAAAGAAAAUGUGAUAGGAAUGGCUUAGAGAGAAAGGAUUCUCCAAGGAAAAGAGAAAUAUGGUCACACUACUAAAAAUCUGUUUGGUUGCCAUGAGAUAGGAGAGACGUUGCAGAGGAGGAAUUACUACAACCCACAAAAGAUCGAACAUGAUUGUCAAUAAUAAAAAACUUAUUCCUCUUAUAAUUGGAAUUUUGUAACCCGUGACCAGCAUCUCCUUAUUCUGCCUCUACUUUCCCCCACCCCCACCCCUGGCAUUUGAACAUGAUAUCACAAUUUAAAAGCACAAGGUCGUCCUUAAAAUGGUGUGGAAAAACAAAGGAAGGCAAAGCAUCAAAGGUGG